GAUGAAGAACGUAGCGAAAUGCGAUAAGUAAUGUGAAUUGCAGAAUUCAGUGAAUCAUCGAAUCUUUGAACGCACAUUGCGCCCCUUGGUAUUCCGAGGGGCAUGCCUGUUCGAGCGUCAUUAUAACCCCUCAAGCUCAGCUUGGUGUUGGGGCCUGCUGCACUGGCAGCCCUUAAAAUCAGUGGCGGCGCCAUCUGGCUCUAAGCGUAGUAAUUCUUCUCGCUAUGGAGUCCUGGUGGAUGCUUGCCAUCAACCCCCAAUUUUUCUAUGGUUGACCUCGGAUCAGGUAGGAUACCCGCUGAACUUAAGCAUAUCAAUAAGCGGAGGA
rnacentral:misc_RNA from 1 species